UCCGUUUUUAGUCCCGCCCCCUCGGUCAGUCGGGCGCUCGGUGUCCGAGCGCUGCUAGGCCUGGCCGCCGCGAGAGGCUCGCGCCGGAGGCCGUGCGCUCGGUUCUGGGGAGCCCGCCGCAGGAGUGGCGGGGGAUCACGGGGCGGUGACUGCGCCGGGGUAUGCGGGGGCCUGUCGUGUGCUGGGUUCCGGACGCCCUGAGGAGCUGGCGGGGACCCGGGCGCUCCGGGCUCUGCGGUGAGCGGCCGUCCAGCCACUUUCAGAGCUUGGACUAUUCCAGUUAUUUAUUAGCUGUUGUAUAAAGGUAAAAGGCAACACGAUGUCUGACGAAGUUUUUAGCACAACUUUGGCUUAUACAAAGAGUCCAAAAGUUACCAAAAGAACUACAUUCCAGGAUGAGCUAAUAAGAGCAAUUACAGCUCGCUCGGCCAGGCAGAGGAGCUCUGAGUACUCCGAGGACUUUGACAGUGAUGAGAUUGUUUCUUUGGGGGAUUUUUCUGAUACCUCAGUAGAUGAAAAUUCAAUUAAGAAGAAAAUGAAUGAUUUUCAUAUAUCAGAUGAUGAAGAAAAGAGUGCUCCAAGACUGACUUUUUUGAAAACCAAGAAAUCAAGCAAUGACCUAAUCAAAGAUAAGCCAGAAUUGACCAUCAAGAAUGAUGAGGAAAUGGCACCCAAUGGUUGUGAAGACAUAGUCGUAAAUUCCUCAUCUGAAUCUCAAAGUAAAGGCCAAGAAAUUGAGAAAGACAAAAUUAAACUGAAACCCAAACCCAGAAUUCUUCCAGUGAAAAGCACAUCUUCAGCAGAAAACAACAGCAGCCUUGAAACAGAUGACCACUUGAAACCUUUACCUCGGCCAAGGAGCAUGUUAAAAAAGAAUAGCUACAGGGAACAGAAAGAUAGACUGGAAGAAAAAGAAAUCUCUCCCAGUCAAGAACCACAGGUACAGUCUGCACCUUCUUCCCCUACGAGGCCAAAUGGCACAGAAUUAGAAGCUGAGAAGAAAGAGGAAAAUGAUCAUCCUGAGGACCCAUGUGCAACAAAUCUAUCACCAUCAUCCCUUAGAGAAAGUACUGGAAAUUCCUUUUCACCAGAACCUGGGGAAAAAUCAUCCAUAAAAGUAGAUCAGAAUGAAGAAUUCACUGAAAACUGUGCUUCCUUGAAAUCAAAUGCAAAUAAAGAGAAUUCAUUAUUGAUGGACUUUGUUACUACUGCACUUGAGAAACCUAAAGAAAGUCAUUUGACUGCUGAGGGCCAUAAAGAAGAAAAGGAGAAGGCUGAACUGGUAACAGACGAUAACUCAGCAGUUGAUCCAUCACUAUUUAAAUCUCAGAGUAUCUUAUUAUCCACUAGUCCAACAGAAUCUGCAAAGAAAACAAUCGAAGACAGAAACACAAAGAAUAAAAGGUCAACAAAUAAUAGAGUAUCCAGUGCAUCUGGCAGAUUAAUGACUUCCGACUUUUUAAAGAAAUCUAGUUCUGCAAGGAGAAGUCCUUCAACAACUACUUCUUCUCACUAUUUAGGGACUUUGAGAGUCUUGGACCAAAAGCCUUCACAGAAACCAAGUCUAGAACCUGACAAAGCAGACAGCAUAAGGGCAGCUGUGUAUCAGGAGUGGUUAGAAAAGAAAAAUGUAUAUUUACAUGAAAUGCACAGAAUAAAAAGAAUUGAAAGUGAAAACCUAAGGAUCCAAAAUGAACAGAAAAGAGCUGCUAAGAGAGAAGAAGCAUUAGCGUCAUUCGAGGCCUGGAAGGCAAUGAAAGAAAAGGAAGCAAAGAAAAUAGCUGCAAAAAAGAGGCUUGAGGAAAAAAACAAGAAGAAAACCGAAGAAGAAAAUGCUGUGCGAAAAGGAGAAGCACUACAGGCAUUUGAAAAAUGGAAAGAGAAAAAGAUGGAAUAUCUUAAAGAGAAAAACAGAAAGGAGAAGGAAUAUCAAAGAGCAAAGAAACAGAAAGAGGAAGAAACUGUUGCUGAAAAAAAGAAAGAUAAUUUAACUGCUGUUGAAAAAUGGAAUGAAAAAAAGGAAGCUUUUUUCAAACAAAAGGAAAAAGAGAAAAUAAAUGAGAAAAGAAAGGAAGAACUUAAAAGAGCUGAGAAAAAAGAUAAAGAUAAACAAGCUAUUGACGAAUAUGAAAAAUGGCUGACAGAGACACAGAGAAGGUGAGAGAAUGAGAGAGAAAACAAGAAGGAAGAGAUCAAGAGAGAAGGAAAGAUCAAGAGAGAUCCUCUAUCUGCUGGUUCCAUUCCUAAAUGGCUGCUAGGGCCAGGCUGAAGCCAGAAGACAGGAGCUUCCACUGAGUCUCCCACGAAAAAAAAGAAAGGCAAGAAAGAAUUGAACGAAAACAAAAGAAACGCCAUUCCUUUCUUGAAAAUGAGGCACUUCCUCCAUGGAGCCCUCCAAGCAGAACUGUGAUCUCAAAAGUGUUUUGAUAAUUCUCGUUCUCAGAUAUUUAGCUAUUUACCAAUUUGCUGAUUUUAACCAGGGGCUUAAAACCAUUCAAUUAGUUAUAGUUAGAAGAAUCUAUUUUAAUAAGUUGCCAGACUCUUCUGCUGACAAUGAAAAAUAUACUUAGGAAUGGAAUCAGUGAAAACAUUUUUCAAACUGUAGAUAACUGCUUCAAAUGAAAAGCUAAUAAUCAAACUUCUUUCUAUUCAAAUGCAUAAAGCUUUAUCAUGUCUUGAUAAUCUGGUAAUUCUUAACACAGUGUGAUCCAUGAUCACUUUAACUAAGUCUUCUGCAUGUUAUUUAAAUUUGUUCCCAGUAAUAAGGGAAAUCAUUGAGGUAUCAUCAUAGAAAACACUGAAUCUGUUGAUGAUUUUGCCUCAAGGUUUCAGUUUUUAAAUGAAUGUUUGCAUAUAUUUUAUCUGAAACUGAUAUUUAGCUCCAAGCUGUGUUUGCACUGUGCAAAUUAGAACUUGGCCAACAGAGGCAAUAGUUCAAGUAGAACUCUAAUCAAUGAAGCAUUUUAAGAAUUCUGCCUUAUGCUUUAAUAUGACUGUACUUUAUCUGUUCCAAGCUUACGUGACAAUCAUAGGCACUUUAUAAUGAGCUCACCUCUGAAAUUUCUCUUUCUAAAUUUUAUCUUACUUUCCUUAUUAUUUAAAUGAUACCAAUAGAUACCAACGUCAUGGCAGUGAUACACGUAGACCUUAGUAAUGGAAAUUCCUCAGGAGUUCAAGGUCCUUAUUGCCACAAAGAGGAUUAAGGCAAUGAUUGUCCUCAACAAUCCAGUUUUAGAACUUAUAUAUUUAGAAGACACUUAGCUGUAUGGGAAAAAAUUUAUGGAAAAUGUUUGAAGAACUUUUAUUUAUUUAUUUGAUCUCUGCAUAUCCAUGUAUUAACUAGUCUCAUACUUGACAUGGAACAUCUAAGUUAUGACUUAAUAUUCAUUCUCACAGGUGAGAUGCUACUUUAGCCAAUAGUGCAAUCCAGAAAUGCAAAGGUGAUGGAUGAGAAUAAGCAGUUACUAUUUAUUGAGCACCUAUUAUAUAUAUAUGUAAUUCCUGCUAGAUCUUUACAAAUGUUAUUUCUCAUCUUUAUAAAAACUAUUUAGAUACUGUCCAUUCAUUUUACAGAGACUUAGGAAAACCAAAUAACUUGCCAUCCAUCUAGCAUGUGGCUGAGUUGGAGUCAGAACUGUUGAAGUCUGACUAAGGCUGCCUCCCUCCAGAAUCCCUGUGCUCUUUUUCACACUACAUGUAACCUCAAAAAUCGUAAGUGCUUUCAAGAUUUCUGAAUCAUAGCAACCUUACAAAUCAUGUAUUAUUACUCAGAAACUACUUUUCCCAAGAAAUACAUGCCUAAUUGGUAUUAGCGAUAGUGGACCUCAUUAAAUCUAUAAAAUGAAGCAAGAAUUCAUAGCGUUUAAGGAGUUGCUCAAACAUCUUGUAUCUCGUAUUGGAACGUCAGAAAGUCAGCACAUCCACUACUGUGAAACGGUCACUCGGGGUUCCACACACCCAUCCCUCUCCUUGCUGCAGUGCCUGUGCAAGUUCCAGAAGAUGCCGAGGAUCCUUCAGAGGCUGUUCAGUGCCACAGGUGAGUGUGAGAUGUGUGUGAAGAAGGAUGCCUUGUCACGCUGCCUCAUCUAGAACACUUCCUGCAGUGGGCAUGACUGCCAGCAAUGCGGAUUAUCAGCAUGGGGAUUGCCGCCUCUUACUCAUCGGGUGCUCUCCACAGGACCUGACACCUUGCCUACCAGAACAGAGCACUAAGUGUUUAUUGUUUUGAAUCAGCUCUUCAGAGCCAAAAAGAUAUUUGCAAAUUCCAGGGAGGCAAAAAGAAAUGUAAAAAAAGGUACACUACUCUGGGGAAUGUGAGAUCAUAAAUGUGUGUGUUCUGGACUUCACAUUAAUUAUUUACUUGGGUUUUCUUACUUUCUCGUACAUUAUUACAUUUAGUGGCUUACCAUUACCUCAUAGAUUGUUGUGAGAAUUGAAUGAGAUCAAUUAAUGUAAAGUACUAGGAACAUUAGAAGGACUGCAUAAAUGUUCGUUUUUGACAUCAUUUCCUUUCAAUCAUGAGCCCCACAUUCACUCCACUUACCUAGAAUGUGAGAAGGUGAACAUAACUAGGGUAACAGUGUGUAUUUAGCACUAGAUGAUUUUCCCAUAUGGGAAGAAAUCUUGGCCUUUCUGGUCAUUAUAGGCUAUACAACUGAACAAUAAAGUGGUGCUUUCUAUCAGGGCCUUCCUAAGAAAGAAAACUAAAUUUCUUCUUAGAGUUGCUUCUGAUGUAGGAGGAAAUGAGAAAUUGAGGUGUUUGGAAAAAACCAAGUCAUUUGUCUCAAAUGUGAAUGGUGGUUUCUGUCUUACUGUGAUAAAUAAUAUAUUAUUUCUUGUGAAUAAUAUGCUAAAUAUCAUCUGAAUCAGUGAAGUCAUCUCUUCUCCUGUAGCAAAAACAAAGCUGAGUUUUUGGGAAGGGAGUGAAGAUACGGUACUGUAUUAUUGUUUACUGCCUGAGAGGCAAAGGGGAGAAUCACACUUGGUAGUAUUAUCUAGAAAAUAUUUAAUGUAUUUAAGGGGUAUACCUUUCUCAUAUUCCCUUAGAAAUUAUCAAGUAUCAGUAUAGAUAUUUAUUCAUUAAGUUUUCAUUAAUACUAUUAGGGCAUGUAUAAUUCAAAUUAAGGACCCAUUGAAGUUCAUACUAAACUUCCCACUUACAAAUAACAUUGAUCACUUGAAUGCUAAGAUUUUUAGAAGUACAUAGGAAUUAUAUGAAUAUUUUAAAUUGCUAUAAACAUGUUUCCUUGGAAUAUUUUAAUACAUUUAAAUAUUAGAACUUCAACUUUUACAUAGAAUUUAAGUUUCAUAAUAACCAAGAAAACAGUGAAGUGAAAGAAAGUAAGAAUUAUUCAUGGGAUAAUAAUAUUACAGUGGUUUGUAGUUACAUCACUGAAAAUUUUGGCUAAUUCUGUAUUUCAAAUUGUGUUGGAACUGGUAUUUUUCACUGUUGCUGAAGCAGUACCCAAUACUAAUUAGUGGCCCAUGGUUAUGUUCCUCAAUGUGCAGUAACUGCACCUCAAAGAGAUUUUAGUAAUUUGACCAACUUGAUCCAAACACUUUAUUUCUAAAGUGUACAAACUGAUUUCCAAAGAUUUUGAUUUAGCCAGUCACACAGCUGUAGGGUAUCCAGAGUUAGAACUCAGGUUUCUUAGUUGGAUAUGUCCUCCAUUCCACAACUGCUAAAAUGUUCACACUAACUUUUGUACUGUGUUUUUUUUAUUAUUUGAGUUAUGUCUUCUCAUCUGUUUCCUUAUUUCUCCAGUGCCCUCCCCAUAACUGAGCAUCAGAUCAAAGCAGUUUGGAUACCUACACUAUCAUAAGGUGUGGGAAACUGAAGUUGCUUAAGUCUUGAGUCAUGAUCUAAGAUACAACAAAGAAAAUAAGUUUCACAAAACAGGAAAAAUUACAUGUUGGUCAAAAUCAUUCCCAAUUAUAAACUAGCAGAGGAAACAUCAAUUCCCCUAAUUUAAUCUUGGCUCUGAUUUCAGUAGUGCUUUUAAACAAUAUUUAAACCUACCUGCUUCCAUUCUAUGUAAAACAAAUAUGGUAAAUUUUCCUAGUUUAUUAUACUGGCUGAUAGAACAAUAAAAUGCUAUGUAGAUGUUAACUUGGAGACCUCUCUGUGUUUUUUUAAUUCAAAUUUCAUGUGAUUAUGUUAUUUUGAAUGUUUAUGCUACAUUAAAUUGUAUUAUGUUAACUUAAGUUGACAAAACUCAUGGUAUUGAAUUUAGAAUAUUUUAGGAGUCAUUGAGGGAUAUGUAUUCAUGUUUAUGUCUGUGUUUUGAUAGUAUGUUUUCAUGUAAUGCUUAAUUUAUUAAAGUCAACCAUUCAAGAUA